GCAGUACCACACGGAGAUAAAAUAUCCAGUCCUGACAGUCUAUGUAUCUCCUCAGAUUUAAAGGAAAUACACCUCCAGCCAUCGGGCCAGUUGCAGGGCAAAAGAAGUGGAAGAAAAACCACCAAGUAUUCCUCAGUAAAACAGCAACCCCUGCCUGCUAAGGCAGCACCAGAUAGCUAACCUUUAACCUUUUCUCUGCUGUUCUCUGUCACACCCAAGGGCAAAGAUAAAUUGCAACAGCAAGGUGUGUCAAAGCUUAUUUAAGAUGUUAUUGCCCUCAGCUGUCAUCCUCACCUUCCUGUCAGAGAUUACAAUUCCUGCAGCAAUCAGCAAGAAAAAUGUGUGCCUCCAGAUCAGCUACGCUAGUUGCCAUGCUGUAUAUUAGCUUAAACUAGUGAUAAAUGUGUUGUCCUUUUUUUUUUUUUUUUUUUUUCCCUCAGGCAAACUUUCAGCUUUAUUCCUCAGUACUCCAGUCUCUCCCUGGUUUCUCUUCCUUCCAGUUGACUGUCACAUUGCUGACUGCUGACUUCAGUGGCUGCUGUCAUCUCAAGACAGCGUGGCCAAAUGAGCCAAGGAAUAUUCCAAGCCUCAGAACAGACUGCUGUGCAUCCUUCCUGAGGUAAAAGGAACUACAGAAACAGGAUCUCACAGAACCACAACGGGAACAUGCAAAACUUGUACAACUGUAGAGGGUGCCACUCCUUCACUUAGCGCUGUGGCCAAAG